rnacentral:rRNA from 1 species
AGAUAAGGUCCGCCCUGCCUGUGAGUCAACGUGCUUUAACGGCCGCGGAAUUUUAACCGUGCAAAGGUAGCAUAAUCUCUUGCCUUUUAAUUGGUGGCUCGUUGAAUGGGUACACGAAGAAACCAGUGUCUCCCUCCUUUUAUAAUAAAUUGACCUUCAGGUGAAGAUGCCUGAAUUCCAUAAAAAGACAAAAAGACCCUGUCGAGUUUUAUUUCCUCCUGAUAUUGAUUACAUAGCCGCGCCAUGGACGCUAUAAUUUGGAGAAAUUUAGUUGGGGAAACUGAAGAGCACUAAAAACCUCUACCUGAUACCUAUAGAUUCAUAAAUCUUCCUAAAUGAUCCAUUGUUUAUGAUAAAGAGAACUAUACUACCGCAGGGAUAACAGGCUGAUCCCCCCUGAGAGCUCAAAUUGACGGGGGGGUUUGGCACCUCGAUGUUGGCUUAGGGACCCGUCAAGCGCAGCAGCUUGAAAAGGCCGGUUUGUUCAACCGUUAAAGCCUACGUGAUCUGAGUCAGACC